rnacentral:misc_RNA from 1 species
CUCCCCUUCACUGUCACUCAUCCAUCUUUCUAGUACUACUGCACCUGUAAAAGUUCAUGGAGAUGCACAGACCACUGCGCAUCCUGUUGCCCAUCGUCGUCCUCGUCGCCGCGGCGUGGCCAUCGGUGCCGGCGGGGGCGGACGACAGCGCCUGGUCCAAGGGCACGGCGACGUUCUACGGCGGGGGCGACGCCUCGGGCACGAUGGGCGGCGCGUGCGGGUACGGGGACCUGUACUGGUCGGGGUACGGGACGGAGACGGCGGCGCUGAGCUCGGCGCUGUUCAACGACGGCGCGGCGUGCGGGGAGUGCUACAGGGUGACGUGCGACGACGGCGCGUCCCAGUGGUGCCUGCCGGGGACGGGGAGGAGGUCGGUGACCGUCACGGCCACCAACCUGUGCCCGCCCAACCACGAGCUCUCCGGCGACGACGGCGGCUGGUGCAACCCGCCCCGCCGCCACUUCGACAUGGCGCAGCCCGCCUGGCUCCGGAUCGCCCAGUACAAGGGCGGCAUCGUGCCGGUGCUCUACCAGAGGACGGCGUGCGUGAAGCAGGGAGGGGUGCGGUUCACGGUGUCCGGAUCCAACUACUUCGUGCUGGUGCUCAUCAGCAACGUCGCCGGCAGCGGGUCGGUGAAGGCGGUGUGGGUGAAGGGGAGCGCCACGGACAGGAUGCCCAUGGCCAGGAACUGGGGCGCCAACUGGCAGUCGCUCGCGGGUCUUGCCGGCCAGGCGCUCACCUUCGGGGUCACCUCCACCGACGGCCGCACCGUCGUCGUCCCCGACGUCGUGCCGGCCUGGUGGAAGUUCGGGCAGUCUUUCACCUCCGGCGUCCAGUUCUCCAACUGAGGCUCGGCUCACUUUGGGAGAAUGGGGCAGCUCAGCCCAGGGAACAGUCACACACCCUCCUCCAUUAUUUGAUUCAGUUUCACGAUUCACUGAUGAUCUGAUGUACCAGUGGCUAUUACUAGUAGAGUGUAUUCUCUAGGUCUUAAUAAAAAGAGGAAUAUCUUCUGUUAUUUAGUGCUGCCAUUCUGGACAGAAGCUACAGUUUCAAGACAAUUUACAAGCUGCUAUCUUAUCUGGAUGCAGGAUGUUACCUUGUGUACUGCUUUUUUGUUACAUCUUCAG